AUUGAACGCUGGCGGCAGGCCUAACACAUGCAAGUCGAGCGGAGCGGCGGACGGGUGAGUAAUGCCUAGGAAUCUGCCUGGUAGUGGGGGAUCACGUCCGGAAACGGGCGCUAAUACCGCAUACUAUCAAAUGAGCCUAGGUCUGAUGAGCUAGUUGGUGGGGUAAAGGCCUACCACGGCGAAGAUCCGUAACUGGUCUGAGAGGAUGAUCAGUCACACUGGAACUGAGACACGGUCCAGAAUCCUACGGGAGGCAGCAGUGGGGAAUAUGUGACAAUGGGCGAAAGCCUGAUCCAGCCAUGCCGCGUGUGUGAAGAAGUUCUUCGGAUUUGAAAGCACUUUAAGUUGGGAGGCGUUACCAACAGAAUAAGCACCGGCUAACUUCGUGCCCGCAGCCGCGGUAAUAC
rnacentral:rRNA from 1 species